AUUGAACGCUGGCGGCAGGCUUAACACAUGCAAGUCGAGCGGGGACUUCGGUCCUAGCGGCGAACGGGUGAGGAAUGCUUGGGAAUCUGCCCAGUAGUGGGGGAUAACGUUUCGGAGAGAACGCUAAUACCGCAUACGUCCUACGGGAGAAAGGGGGGGAUCGUCGGACCUCUCGCUAUUGGAUGAGCCCAAGUCGGAUUAGCUAGUUGGUGAGGUAAAGGCUCACCAAGGCGACGAUCCGUAGCUGGUCUGAGAGGAUGAUCAGCCACACUGGAACUGAGACACGGUCCAGACUCCUACGGGAGGCAGCAGUGGGGAAUAUUGGACAAUGGGCGAAAGCCUGAUCCAGCCAUGCCGCGUGUGUGAAGAAGGCCUUCGGGUUGUAAAGCACUUUAAGCGAGGAGGAAUGGCUCUUGGUUAAUAACCUUGAGCAGUGACGUUACUCGCAGAAUAAGCACCGGCUAACUCUGUGCCAGCCGCCGCUGUAAGAC
rnacentral:rRNA from 1 species